rnacentral:rRNA from 1 species
AGUGAACGCUGGCGGCGUGCUUAACACAUGCAAGUCGAACGAGAACGGAUUAUAGCUUGCUAUAAUUGUCAGCUAAGUGGCGCACGGGUGAGUAAUGUAUAGGUAAUAUGCCUCUUACUAAGGGAUAACAAAUGGAAACGUUUGCUAAUACCUUAUACUCCUUAUUAACAUAAGUUAAUAAGGGAAAGAUUUAUUGGUAAGAGAUUAGCCUGUAUUGUAUCAGUUAGUUGGUGGGGUAAUGGCUUACCAAGACUAUGACACAUAACUGGUUUGAGAGGAUGAUCAGUCACACUGGGACUGAGACACGGUCCAGACUCCUACGGGAGGCAGCAGUGGGGAAUAUUGCACAAUGGACGAAAGUCUGAUGCAGCAACGCCGCGUGGAGGAUGACACAUUUCGGUGCGUAAACUCCUUUUAUAUGAGAAGAUAAUGACGGUAUUAUAUGAAUAAGCACCGGCUAACUCCGUGCCAGCCGCCGCAGUAA